AAAAACCCUACCCCCGAUAACUCCCUGAGAAAGAUAGUCGGAAAGUAGACAAUCGAAGAGAAAGAAAGGAAAAGGAAAGGAAAAUGAGAGGGAAAUUCUUGGUUCUACGCCAAGCUUUCAACCUCCAAUCGACUUCUUCUUCUUCUUUUCCUCUGAAAAAUAACUCAACUUUGAUUCCAAAAGCCAAUCUUUCAAUUUCCAGCACACGGGAAAACCUCAAUGCCUUGACGAUCUUCUCACAAUUUUCCAGAACUUUCUGUUCCUCAUCCUCAGUUUCGUCCAAUACGCGACAACGAUCAGCAAGGCUUCCAUUUGUGGAUGCAUUUUUGUCAAAAAUAAAGAAGAACAAAGAUCUUUUAGCCAAUCGGAAAAUUUGGUCGCGUAGAUCUACGAUUUUGCCGGAAUUCGUGAACCAGACUGUUCGGAUUUACAACGGGAAAACUUUUGUUCGUUGCAAGAUUAACGAAGGCAAAGUUGGUCAUAAGUUUGGAGAGUUUGCUUUGACUCGGAAAAGGAAACAUUUGAGAACCAAACAAGAACCUGCAAAGAAGAAGGGCAAGAAGUAAAUGUCUGACCCCUGCAUUUGCCCCACCCCGAAAUCGACAAUCCCAGUUCGGAAGGGAAGUAUUAUUCCAGAGAACGGCUUGAUUUGAUGAAACCUUGUUCAAGCAAUUAAAGGAAGAAAAUGGUUUUAAGGUCUCAUUUGUUACAUGAUUGUAAGAUUUUGUUUGGUCAGUUGGCCAAAGUUAGCAUAUUUUUUAAGUUAUCCUUUCUCACAAUAUACUGAUCAAAAGUAUCAUUUGAGAAGCAAAAGUUGGGAUGUUUUCAUGGUCCACGCAGGUUGAUUUGGCAAUAAAAUUGAUGUUCUCAAA